rnacentral:rRNA from 1 species
GACGAACGCUGGCGGCGUGCCUAAUACAUGCAAGUCGAGCGAAGUUUUUCUGGUGCUUGCACUAGAAAAACUUAGCGGCGAACGGGUGAGUAACACGUAAAGAACCUGCCUCAUAGACUGGGACAACUAUUGGAAACGAUAGCUAAUACCGGAUAACAGUAUUUCUCGCAUGAGAGAUAUUUAAAAGUUGGUUAUGCUAACACUAUGAGAUGGCUUUGCGGUGCAUUGGUUAGUUGGUGGGGUAAAGGCCCACCAAGGCGACGAUGCAUAGCCGACCUGAGAGGGUGAUCGGCCACACUGGGACUGAGACACGGCCCAGACUCCUACGGGAGGCAGCAGUAGGGAAUCUUCCGCAAUGGGCGAAAGCCUGACGGAGCAACGCCGCGUGAGUGAAGAAGGAUUUCGGUUCGUAAAGCUCUGUUGUUAGGGAAGAAUGGAUAUGUAGUAACUAUACAUGUAAGAGACGGUACCUAACCAGAAAGCCACGGCUAACUACGUG